CAUUAAUAUCCUGGAGCUGUGUCGUGGUGGGUUGUUUUUUUUGCGAAUUUUGGUGAAGCAACACAGUUUAGGGCCUGUGACACCUCUGGGUUACUAGACGAUGGAACGGCGCCGUUUUGCUUAGGGGACAAAAUGUUUGGUUUGGUUUGGUUUCACUAGAGCUGGGCAUUUCAUCGGAAACUCCAGCGUAGCUCUCUCCAUCUCCACAGCAGCUCCUUCCCAUCCGUCUUCUCUCCAUUCAGAUUCUGAACAACCGUACGGAAAACCAAAAAUCGCCAAAUUCCAAAACCAAGAAAGUGCUGCCUAAUCCUCAUCCUCCUACUCCAUCUCGUUGAUUUUCUCCAGUUAUAGUUGCAGUCAAGGUUCGUUCUUCAUUACUUGCUGAAGGAGAUCCAAGUUUUUAGAUUGUCAAAAUAGUCAGCCAAAAAGAAAGAGCACCAAAAGUAAUGGCGACCAAGAUAUGCGUAGUGAUUCGAUCUUUUCAUCACCCAAACCUUUUGUGGGGGCUUCCACCUUCCACACGGAGGAUUGCAUUGCCUGAAUCACGAGUCUUAUAUACUGUGUUGCGAUCACCUCAUAUUGAUAAAAAGUCCAGAGAGCAGUUUGAAAUGGAAAUCAAGAAACAAUAUCUGGUCAUAAAGACACAACCGCAUGAAUUGCAGAAGAAGUUUUUUUGGCUAAAGCGCCAACGUAUAUUUGGAGCUCAAUAUGAACUCCUAUUUUCUUGCAAGACUCGAUUGGAUAAGGAACAACUGCUUUAAUUGCUUUGAAGCAAGAUCCUUGCAUUGACCCUUCCCUGAACCAGAACCAGCAUGGCGGCGCCGCUGGACGGUUCUGAUAAACACAGGAAGGGAGGGGAAAGAGAGCACGUCAAAUGAUGCCCUAGUUUGUAUUGUGGCUGGUGUUUUUCAAGUUUAGUUUAAAAUCCGUUUUGAUCAGAUAGGAAGAUGCAGAACUGUUUUUGGUUAUUGUGGGAUUCUGCGUCCAAGUUAGAGAAUGAUAUGAGGUUGCUAUAAUAAUCCAACACUUGACAUUUUCAACUUGGAGUUGGAUAUCUCACUGAACAAUUGCAUUAUCGAUCUCAAAUGUUAGAAGGCACGGGCAAAGAAAUACUUGCAUUAGAGGGCUGGAACUUCCUGUGCUGCAACUUCUUUUGUUUUUCGUUUUUGUUUUUCUUUGCUUUAUUAUCUUUACCGUGUGCCAGAUUGGUCACCUAUUCCAUAUCCUUGCUUAUAUAUAUUUUUUUGUUUGGUGACACCAAAAUUCACCA